rnacentral:lncRNA from 1 species
CCCGCGCUCCUCCGGGCAGAGCGCGUGUGGCGGCCGAGCACAUGGGCCCGCGGGCCGGGCGGGCUCGGGGCGGCCGGGACGAGGAGGGGCGACGACGAGCUGCGAGCAAAGAUGUGCCCCGGGACCCCCGGCACCUUCCAGUGGAUUUCCUUGCGGAAAGGAUGUUGGCGGUCCCUGUGACCUGUGGAGACACGGCCAGAUCUGCCCUCCAGAUUUAUUAGGAGAAAAACCUUCCCGGAAGCUGCAGAAGGACAAAUACAGAAUCCGUGUCUGGGAGAAACCUCGUGGCCUGGUCUCCAUUAUUUGAGAUGAGUUACAUCUUGGAGGUGAGGACGUGCCUCGUGGUCUAAAGCUUCGGCACAAGGGCCCAACUGGAAUUCCACUUACGGGCCUGAUCUUUUGGCCAGAAGGAGAUUAAAAAGAUGCCCCUCAAGAUGGCUGUGCCUGUCAGCUGCAUGGAGCUUCGUUCAAGUAUUUUCUGAGCCUGAUGGAUUUACAGUGAUCUUCAGUGGUCUGGGGAAUAACGCUGGUGGAACCAUGCACUGGAAUGACACACGCCCGGCACAUUUCAGGAUACUAAAAGUGGUUUUAAGGGAGGCUGUGGCUGAAUGCCUCAUGGAUUCUUACAGCUUGGAUGUCCAUGGGGGACGAAGGACUGCAGCUGGCUGAGAGGGUUGAGAUCUCUGUUUACUUAGAUCUCUGCCAACUUCCUUUGGGUCUCCCUAUGGAAUGUAAGACCCCGACUCUUCCUGGUGAAGCAUCUGAUGCACGUUCCAUCCGGCGCUCAGCUGGGCUUGAGCUGACCAUACUCCCUGGAGCCUUCUCCCGAGGUGCGCGGGUGACCUUGGCACAUACAGCCAUCAUGAUGGUACUUUAAGUGGAGGCUGAAUCAUCUCCCCUUUGAGCUGCUUGGCACGUGGCUCCCUUGGUGUUCCCCUUUUACUGCCAGGACACUGAGAUUUGGAGAGAAUCCUGUUACACCUGGGAUUUAGGCACUUUCAAUCUGAAAAAAUACAUAUCCUUUCAGCACUCUGGACGGACUUGAGAACUGUCCUUACGUGACCUAAAGCUGGAGUAUUUUGAGAUUGGAGAAUUAAGGCCAACAGAGAUUUUGAGAAACACAUUGAAGGAUCUGUUAACACUUGAUAUACCCAAUAAAAGCAGUGGUUGUGCCAGUGCUGAUCUGUCUUGAUGUGAAUGUGAACAAUGGGAACCUGAGCUGAGCAGUUAAUGCUAGGGUGACAGAAACUGGACCUCUCCCAAGACAUGUGACAGAGUAAUACAGCAGCCAACUUCUUCGCCAAAUUAAAGUUUUACAAGAUUUAACCUGUCAUCAAGACCUGGGAUUUUGGUGAGCCAGUCUUGGUGCUCUGUGUUCACCUGGUUCAUCUGAGGAGCUGCAUCUACCCUGCCCAUGCCAUAGAUCCUGCCCUGUUUGCUUCUCCUGUUGCUGCUAGUGGACAUGAGAAGGACAGAAUAACGGGCUCCCAGAUUCACAAGCCCCACCAAGAGGAUCACCCCAGGAACGCUUGGAGGCUGAGGAGUUCACUGAGGCUACUGCAUCUUGAGACUCAGGAUGAAGACCCAGCUUGGGGCUGUCAAAGAGGCCUGAAGAGGCAGAACACCCCAGAGGAGCCUGGGGCCACCACCCAGCAUCACUGUGGGAAAACGGCAGCAGGAAAUGUCCUCUCGCCUGCGUGCUCCACCUCGGUCCACGCCUUCCCUCCUUCUGGAAGCCUUGCCUGACCACUGGCCUGCCCCUUCUAUGGGAAUCACUACUGACCUUGCAGCUUAUUAUAGACUUAUAUGUUUUUUGCAUGUCUGACACCCAUGACUCCACCUGGACCUUAUGGCUCCACCCAGAAGCAAUUCAGCCCAACAGGAGGACAGCUUCAACCCAUUACGAUUUCAUCUCUGCCCCAACCACUCAGCAGCAAGCACCUGUUACCUGUCCACCCCCACCCCUUCCCCCAAACUGCCUUUGAAAAAUCCCUAACCUAUGAGCUUUGAAUAAGAUGAGUACGAACUUCAUCGCCCACGUGGCGUGGCCGGCCUCGUGUCUAUUAAAUUCUUUUUCUACUACAA